rnacentral:rRNA from 1 species
AGAGUUUGAUCCUGGCUCAGAUUGAACGCUGGCGGCAUGCCUAACACAUGCAAGUCGAACGGAAACAGGACGCUGGGAUCUCUUCGGAGUGAACUUGUCGCUGUCGAGUGGCGGACGGGUGAGUAAUGCAUAGGAAAUUGCCUUGAAGUGGGGGAUAGCCCGGAGAAAUCCGGAUUAAUACCGCAUGCGCUCUACGGAGCAAAGCGGGCCUCUGAUUCAAGCUCGCGCUUUGAGAUAUGCCUAUGUCGGAUUAGCUAGUUGGUAGGGUAAAAGCCUACCAAGGCGACGAUCCAUAGCUGGUCUGAGAGGAUGAUCAGCCACACUGGGACUGAGACACGGCCCAGACUCCUACGGGAGGCAGCAGUGGGGAAUAUUGCACAAUGGGCGCAAGCCUGAUGCAGCAAUGCCGCGUGUGUGAAGAAGGCCUGCGGGUUGUAAAGCACUUUUAUUAGGAAAGAAAAACCCGGAAUUAAUACUUCCGGCAUUGACGGUACCUAAAGAAUAAGCACCGGCUAACU